AGCCCCGUCGGCGCGGACGCUUGUCGAGAAUGCAGAUUCCUGGGUACUGCCAGAUACGGGCACUAUUGUGAGGAUUAAAUGAGAUCGAGUGAACAAAGCUUCUGAAGUCCUGCUGGGUGAACGUCUUCAUAAGAGGCCAAGACAAUAACAAUGAUGACAAAUCUGGGCAGGUCAGAUCAGCAGCACAUCCAAGGUUCACUUCGAAGCCUGUAGGACGAUGCCUGGCGCUCAAUAGCAAAUCUAUUACUACUGAACUAUUUCACAAACCCAUUUUGAAAGUCAAAAACCGAGCACUGAGUCUUUCUCUGUAAUCCAGCUACACCAACCCUAAUCUUCUCUGAGGUGAUGCACAGCUGUCACUGGGGAGAAAUGGAAUGCCAGGAAAUGCACAAAGGAAAAGCAUCCUGACAAAUGUUUUCAGCCUUAUGCGCCACACCACUAAAGAACAUUGCCACCUGCUGUAGGAUAUGAAGCUUCUGAAGCACAUGAGAAGUAAGAGGAAACAAUGGUCAUGCCCCCAAAGGUCUUGCUCCACAGAACUGGAGGGACACGUUCUGAAGAAUCCCAGAUUGCAUUCCAGAUGCACCCCAUGGAAACAUGGGACUUUGGUCCUUUUCCAACACCAGGUCACAAGGAGAAAGCUCAUUUUGCAGCUACUCACAGUUACUAGCAGGGCCAUCAUCCUUAACAUUUUUCUGUUGACUCAGAUCUCAGUGAUUUGUAGAAGGAUAAAUUAUCUAAGUAUGAAUUUCCUCUUAAUUCUGAAUAGAAUCUUAUAAUAGCCUCUA
ensembl:lncRNA ZBED5-AS1 ZBED5 antisense RNA 1